rnacentral:rRNA from 1 species
AUGACGGAGGCACUGGAAAACCAAGUGAAGAGCAAGGUUACUGUCAAGGGCCAUCUGCACACCUACAGGUUCUGCGACAACGUGUGGACAUUCAUAUUAACCGACGCGCAGUUCAAGAACGAGGAGACGACCGAGCAGGUGGGCAAGGUGAAGAUCGUGGCCUGCGACUCCAAGCUACUCAGCCAAUAA